AUUUUCAUAGGUGAUGAAGUUCGCUUUUAAAUAUCUCCUUUGAGAUUGAUGACCUCUACUAUAUC
rnacentral:ncRNA from 2 species